AGUAAGAUCAAGCCAGUGUUGAUCAUGGCAUCUAUGAAGAACAACACACAUAUUCUCUGUUUUGUUUCUCUUCUGUUGACGUGUACCACUCUUUUGUGUCGCCCUGCUAUAGCGGGGAGGGAUAUAGGUACCAACACUCCACUUGGAAAACUAUGUUUUCAUUUCUCAGUGUGUGCAAGUUCAUAUGAGGAUGCCUUAGAUUACUGCAACGAAUAGUGCAGAAUACAUGGCUAUGAGGGGCACAAAGGCUACUGUGCUAAGGAAAAUAGAGGAGUGUGCUGCUGUGUUCCUCCCUUCCUAAAGUGAAAGUCAUGUUAUACCAUCAUGUUAGAAAACCGUUCCAUGUAAUUGCUAGACUUAAUACCAAUUUAUGUGGAUCAUACAAAAAUUUCAAUAAAGUAUACCAGUAGUUUCUUUCA